rnacentral:rRNA from 1 species
GACGAACGCUGGCGGCGUGCUUAACACAUGCAAGUCGAACGGAAAGGCCCUGCUUUUGUGGGGUGCUCGAGUGGCGAACGGGUGAGUAACACGUGAGUAACCUGCCCUUGACUUUGGGAUAACUUCAGGAAACUGGGGCUAAUACCGGAUAGGAGCUCCUGCUGCAUGGUGGGGGUUGGAAAGUUUCGGCGGUUGGGGAUGGACUCGCGGCUUAUCAGCUUGUUGGUGGGGUAGUGGCUUACCAAGGCUUUGACGGGUAGCCGGCCUGAGAGGGUGACCGGGAAGAGGGGGAAUGAGAGACAGAAGGGACGACGGCGGGAGGAAGAAGGCGGGAAGAGGGCGAAAGGCGCGGAAGCGUGAAGCAGCAACGUCGAGGGACGAAGGAUGGCGUGCGGGAGGGAAAAAGCUGGCCCCGGUGAAGAAGAGGGAGUGACGGUAAUGGGUAAAGAAGGAAAGGCGAACUACGUG